GGGAACGUACCCUUCGGUUCGGAAUAACUCAGGGAAACUUGAGCUAAUACCGGAUACGCCCUUAUGGGGAAAGGUUUACUGCCGAAGGAUCGGCCCGCGUCUGAUUAGCUUGUUGGUGGGGUAACGGCCUACCAAGGCGACGAUCAGUAGCUGGUCUGAGAGGAUGAUCAGCCACACUGGGACUGAGACACGGCCCAGACUCCUACGGGAGGCAGCAGUGGGGAAUAUUGGACAAUGGGCGCAAGCCUGAUCCAGCCAUGCCGCGUGAGUGAUGAAGGCCUUAGGGUUGUAAAGCUCUUUUGUCCGGGACGAUAAUGACGGUACCGGAAGAAUAAGCCCCGGCUAACUUCGUGCCAGCAGCCGCGGUAAUACGAAGGGGGCUAGCGUUGCUCGGAAUCACUGGGCGUAAAGGGCGCGUAGGCGGCCGAUUAAGUCGGGGGUGAAAGCCUGUGGCUCAACCACAGAAUUGCCUUCGAUACUGGUUGGCUUGAGACCGGAAGAGGACAGCGGAACUGCGAGU
rnacentral:rRNA from 1 species